GCGGAAGAUUCAUUUCCACUAAUGUUUGUGGUUACCCCACCAAAUCCAUUCACCAAUCCAAUUUCUGUGAAGUUGUCUUCGGAUAAUUUCGAACUUUUUAACCUCAACCUUCUUUUCAACUUCAUGGGUUGGGCAUCAUCAGCAUCUCGGUGUUGAUGGUGUUCAGCCCAAUUUUUUUGUCGACUUAUUAACAACCCCAGGGUGAGUGCAUGCAUCUCGGUGUGUGUAGUCGCUCAGCUUUCACUUUAUGUCUGGAGUCUAUGCGACAGUGUUUGAAUGUUGUCUUUUGUGACAUCAUGUUCUCAAAUUACAACUUUCAGCAGUUGAUUCCUUGGUUCAGACCUCGAUGAAGGGCACUGCGAAAUGUGAAUGGCAUUGUGAAUUGCAGGCAUCCGGGAAUUGAGAGCUUCUUGAAUGCAUACUGCUCCAGCUGACUUGUCAGUUGGAUAAUCUUCCUCAGGGACUAUGUACUCCCUCGAUGCUUCAGCUUCUCAGUUAGUUUCGGCUGCUGAGGGGGUGAACUCUUGCACAUUAAGUCUUUGCUUGAUGUGUUGAAGUAAGAUCUUCUGACUGCAAUGAGGAAGCCCUGGCUGCUUUUCGUUGUUCGUUGGGGAUCACUCGGUUAUGAU
rnacentral:misc_RNA from 1 species